AUAAAAAUAAUAAUAGACUGUCAGGGACUGACUUUAAAAUAGGACAACCACUGAUGCACUUCCAGUGGACGCUAUGGGAUAUCAGCCACUAUUCUACCAUAACCAUUUAAUUUGUACAGCAUUAGCCUCUCCAACAAGCCUGAAACAGUGUAAACAAGGACAAGGGCUAACUGAUGCCUUGGACCGUGCAAUGGAGGAUAUUACAGCACAAGAGAUCUCUACACCUUCUUCUCUUGAUAAGUCCAGCAAGGACUCACUCAGUCACUCACAAACAAAACUCCAAUUUGAGGAACCACUUGUCAGGCGAGAGAAGUCAAGACAUAAAAGGGAGAGCUUUGCACUGUCAAGCAAAUCCGAAGCUCCAUUGCCUAAAGAUCUACUUGAAGUUUUAGGUUAGUAUUAAAACACCAACUAAUUAAAGAUUAGUGUUAAAACACAAUUUGUGAUGUUCACACGCUUGUGGGUAUUUUUCAUUUUUCCACAUUUCAAUGUCAAACAAAAUGAAUGUUUAAGGUCAGCCCUUGUACUAGUUUAAAGACACAAAGCUAUCACAUAAAGGAGAUGGCAAACACCAACCACUCAAAGCUUGCAUUGUGUCCCCUGCAAAGGGACUUCAGAUAUCCAGAUUCUGGAGGACCUAGUGGCUAAACUGGAGUUUGAAAAUGAGCUGCACCGUGUGUGUGGGAAUCAGGACAUAGACAAGGAGUUUCUAUCACCAGAGGAACACAGUUCAGACAGCUUAGUAGAGGACAGAAGCAGCAGCAAUGGAGAUGUGUCCAGUUCAGAGGAGGACCACUGCAUGUUAGAUAUUGUGUUGCAGAUGGAAAGGGAGUAUGAUCUUUCUGUUUAUUACAAUGACUUCUGUACUCAAUGACAAGGCCCUCAUUCGGCCAGUUAUCUGUACACAGAGCACCGUGACAUAGGUUUCUGUUGAUAACAACUCCUCAGGAAAGAUUUUCAAGACAAACCUGUCUGAAAUUAGGAUUAAAUAUGGGCUCACUUUACAGUACAUAGACCAAUCAGAGAAGUGAAUUAUUCAGCAGCAAACUUGCAGUUUUUUAUGUAUCCCUCUAUUUUAUUUUGUAAAGAGACAUCUAGGCUGUCAUAUUUCAUUGGUUCAAGUUACUGUAGUUUCUGUUUUUUAUACACCAUAAAGUCAGUUUAUAGUAUUUAUAACCAAUAUUAAAACUAUUUGAUUGUAACAAUCUAUAGAACAUUGCUCUGUUGUAAAAACUUUGAUUUUAUGUUAAUAUCAACCAUCAACCUGUUAUCACUCCUCAAGUGACUGUUAUUACUCCUCAAAUGUAGAAUUACAUAAAGUUAAAGGAAAUGAAAACCAAUAAAAACAUUUUUAUUACA